CCAAGUGUGACUUGGAUUGAUCCGAAAAUUGAACUAAUUGGAGUUCACAUGAAUCAGAUUCAUGUGGAAUUUUUCCGGAUCCAAAAUCUUUCAAAUUGGUCUUCAAUUUGGUUUAGAACCAAUGAUGGACCCAAACCCAUUUGAUUCAGCCCAUUUGAAUUAACCCAUUUAAGUCAAGUCUGAAAAUUUACGUUUUUGCCCCUCAAGUUUAAUGACACGGGUUGUUCUGGUUUCUUCCUCGGUCCAUGGAUCGAUUUCCCUGCAUAUGAUCUCCCGUGAACCGCUUUUUCCUUCUUCUUCCGAACUCAUCAUAGGGCGCUUGAUCUUCCCUCUUUCGGCUACCAUUUGAAGAUCCGAAGAGACAUGUCUCUUCGGUUUUGAAACCUCUUUAACAUAGGACUGAUUUAAUUGAAAUCAAACGGUUCAAAAAAUUCAAUAAAAUCGUGAAACGUUUGGCGUUCACUCUUCCCUUUUGCCGUUUUCUCUUCCCUGGUUUAGCCUUUUUUUUGCUUAUAAAUAGGCUGGGGUUCUCUUCAUUCUUUGCUAGAGAUUUGAUCUGGGGAGAGGGGAGAUUCGUGAUCUUUUGAGUAGCUUGAAAAGAGAGGAAAAGGAAACGGGAAGAAAGAGGAAAAGGAAACGGGAAGAAAGAGGAAAAGAAAGAAAAAAAGAAAAAAAAA
rnacentral:lncRNA from 1 species